rnacentral:rRNA from 1 species
UACGGAGGGUGCGAGCGUUAAUCGGAAUUACUGGGCGUAAAGCGCACGCAGGCGGUCAAUUAAGUCAGAUGUGAAAGCCCCGAGCUUAACCUGGGAAUUGCAUCUGAAACUGGUUCGCUAGAGUCUGGUAGAGGGGGGUGGAAUUCCAUGUGUAGCGGUGAAAUGCGUAGAGAUGUGGAGGAAUACCGGUGGCGAAGGCAAUCCCCUGGACAUGGACUGACGCUCAUGUGCGAAAGCGUGGGGAGCAAACAGG